GAGUACUCUCUAAAAAAACACUUCAAAAUCUACAAUAUGUAGGAGCUCUUUUCAAAAUUCAUCGGAUACCCAUUCCAUUUAAUUAAACAAAAUAUUAAUUAAAAACCCCAUCGGAUACCCAUUCCAUUUAACAGAACCCCAAAAUUUCAUCGUCUCCCCCUCUCUCUUCGAAGUCCAGGCCAUUUAUGCCACAACCGACGCCGUUGCACAAGUUGAAGCAUCUCGCCAGAGCAACGCAUCGCCGUCGACGCCAUCCCAACUGAGCUCACUCCAUCGCUGAAGGAUCCAGAUCUACAAAUCCCUGUCACCAAGCACCGAAUCUUCACGGAAUCCAUGUCGUUUCGUCUCAACUUGUCAGAAUAUUUAGUACUAAACCCCAAUGUCCCCUUCCCUCUCAGCUUCGACCUUAAACAGCCCGCCUCCAUCAAACUCGGCACCCUCACCCCCAAGUUCUGUGUCGUGGAACAGUUGCCUUGUCCAGAAAUUGAAUGGCAUGCUCGAUCUGCCAUUCCGAUCUGCAUUUUCCGGCCCUCCAUGGUCCCUUAGUGGUUUGAUUGGUUUUCUCUUGGCUGCUCCUCUUGGUGGUUUGAAGGCAUUGAUCUUCUUUUGUUUUGGCUUAGGUGAGUGGAAUUUGCUUGGGAGGAAAGGAAUAUGUUGGUUGGUAUUUCAAGGAAUGGGAUCAUUAAUUGAAUCUGAGAGCAAUAUUCUAUAUGGUUAGAACUCGUUGUGACUGAGGACUUUUCUUGUCCAUUUGGUUGAUGCAAUGUGCACUCUUUAAGGUAGAUAGGGUAUACCCUGUUAGGUGUAUAUUCCUGUAUUAGUUGUUUAUUUAUUUACUUUAUUGGACAAAUUUUGGUCAGGGGCUCAUAUAUAAAUCUAUUUCUCUUAUAUGAUUUUUAUCACAAACAUGAUUUGUUGUCUCUUUCAUUUUUUUGUAACAUUAAUCCAUUCACAACCCAGUCCUCUGUAUUCCUUUAUUUUUGGUAUGUAUAAUGACAAGUUAUAGGAUUUCUAUUUUUCCCAUAAAGACUUCGAACAAUUCUUAGUGUGAUUUCAAACUUCAAAGUAACUAUAGCAAGCGAGUGGGUGUAUCUAAUACGUGUUAAUUAAUUCAUACAAUAGUUGCAGAAUGGUUGCUGGUUUAUUUUUCUUCUGUUACA